rnacentral:rRNA from 1 species
GACAGAGGGGGCAAGCGUUGCUCGGAAUUACUGGGCGUAAAGGGCGCGUAGGCGGAAUGGCAAGUCGGUCGUGAAAUCCUUCGGCUCAACCGAAGAACGUCGAUCGAAACUGCCGUUCUUGAGGAUUGCAGAGGAGACUGGAAUUCCCGGUGUAGCGGUGAAAUGCGUAGAUAUCUGGAGGAACACCGGUGGCGAAGGCGGCAUCCUGGACCAAUUCUGACGCUGAGGAGCGAAAGCCAGGGGAGCAAACGGG